rnacentral:rRNA from 1 species
UACAGAGGUCUCAAGCGUUGUUCGGAUUCAUUGGGCGUAAAGGGUGCGUAGGCGGCGUGGUAAGUCGGAUGUGAAAUCUCGGAGCUUAACUCCGAAACUGCAUUAGAUACUGCCGUGCUUGAGGACUGGAGAGGAGACUGGAAUUUACGGUGUAGCGGUGAAAUGCGUAGAUAUCGUAAGGAAGACCAGUGGCGAAGGCGGGUCUCUGGACAGUUCCUGACGCUGAGGCACGAAGGCCAGGGGAGCAAACGGG